rnacentral:misc_RNA from 1 species
UCUCCGUAGGUGAACCUGCGGAGGGAUCAUUACUGAGUGAGGGCCUCUGGCCCGACCUCCAACCCUUUGAUGCCCGACUCAGUUGCCUCGGGGGCGACCCGGCCUUCGGGCCCGGGGCCCCCCGUGGUCCACUCAACUCUGCAUCUUUGCGUCUGAGUAAACAUUAAAUGAAACAAAACUUUCAACAACGGAUCUCUUGGUUCUG